rnacentral:rRNA from 1 species
GACGAACGCUGGCGGCGUGCUUAACACAUGCAAGUCGAACGGAAAGGCCCUGCUUUUGUGGGGUGCUCGAGUGGCGAACGGGUGAGUAACACGUGAGUAACCUGCUCUUGACUUUGGGAUAACUUCAGGAAACUGGGGCUAAUACCGGAUAGGAGCUCCUGCUGCAUGGUGGGGGUUGGAAAGUUUCGGCGGUUGGGGAUGGACUCGCGGCUUAUCAGCUUGUUGGUGGGGUAGUGGCUUACCAAGGCUUUGACGGGUAGCCGGCCUGAGAGGGUGACCGGCGACAUUGGGACUGAGAUACGGCCCAGACUCCUACGGGAGGCAGCAGUGGGGAAUAUUGCACAAUGGGCGGAAGCCUGAUGCAGCAACGCCGCGUGCGGGAUGACGGCCUUCGGGUUGUAAACCGCUUUCGCCUGUGACGAAGCGUGAGUGACGGUAAUGGGUAAAGAAGCACCGGCUAACUACGUG